rnacentral:rRNA from 1 species
CCCCUUAUGUCCAGGGCUUCACGCAUGCUACAAUGGCUGGUACAGAGAGUGGCGAGCCUGUGAGGGUGAGCGAAUCUCGGAAAGCCGGUCUCAGUUCGGAUUGGGGUCUGCAACUCGACCCCAUGAAGUCGGAGUCGCUAGUAAUCGCAGAUCAGCAACGCUGCGGUGAAUACGUUCCCGGGGCUUGUACACACCGCCCGUCACGUCACGAAAGUCGGUAACACCCGAAGCCGAUGGCCCAACCACUUGUGGAGGGAGUCGUCGAAGGUGGGACUGGCGAUUGGGACGAAGUCGUAACAAGGUAGCCGUACCGGGGUGCGGCUGGAUCAC